UUGUGUAAAAGACACAGCUGCGGUUCUGAGCGCGCUGUCCGCGCCCACCUGACAGCUGCUCGCGACGUUGUGUUAGCC
rnacentral:sRNA from 1 species